UACGUAGGGCGCAAGCGUUGUCCGGAAUUAUUGGGCGUAAAGAGCUCGUAGGCGGCCUGUUGCGUCCGCUGUGAAAACCCGGGGCUUAACCCCGGGCUUGCAGUGGAUACGGGCAGGCUGGAGGCAGGCAGGGGAGAACGGAAUUCCCGGUGUAGCGGUGAAAUGCGCAGAUAUCGGGAGGAACACCGGUGGCGAAGGCGGUUCUCUGGCCUGUACUGACGCUGAGGAGCGAAAGCGUGGGAGCGAACAGG
rnacentral:rRNA from 1 species